GGAGCGGAGUUAGGGUCGCCAGGCCGAGCCGAGGUGGGACGGACCGACGCAGAGAGGAAGGGAAGCCACCUGGCCUGAAGAUCCCGUCUCUAAGAUCCCAUUCUGAGGCUUCGAGGGUCUGGCUUGAGCAGCACAGACAGGGAUGUGUCUAAUUGGGAUGACCAUGAGGUCUCAUCGCAGUUUGCCACUAACCAGGACCCUAGGAGUUCUGUUUUAUUGUCUCCACUUGACAGAUAAGGAAAUGGCAGCUGACCCAGGUCAAGGAAGUUUCUGAGGUCCUAGGGCUGAUAAGCGGCCUGACUCCACCACCAGCCCCCAGGAGGAAGCCAACCCCAGCCCUAGAAAAACCCGAUUCCUGAGUGAGUGCUGUAA
rnacentral:lncRNA from 1 species